CCCUACACAGAUUCUCUUCUUCAACUCUAUCUUUAAUUUUUAUCUUUUUCUCUCUCAAUCUUAUUUCUUCUUUAUUUUUUUUCAAUUCACAACUACUCCUCCCUUGUUGUGGUUGAUUAAAAUGAUUUUUCCAUGGUAGUUUUUGCAGAGAAAAAGAGAAAAGAUUAAGAAGUUGAAUCGACAUCGGUCAGAAAUUUUUUCGAUGAGACUUGUGAGAUUGAUCAAAUCUUAUUCCUCCCAUUGAUCAAAUCUUAUUCCUCCCAUCAUCAAACUCAUCAAGGUGAGCAUCAAUAUUUUAAUUUAUUUUUAUAUUUAUGUUCUUUCCAUGUUUUGCUCCAAAUUCAGUCGUUUAAUAUAUUUCUUGUAGAUAUAUCUUCUCUCUAUAAAAAUCCUCUUUCGAUUUGCUCAAAAUCAAUAACAGUAUAUUGAUAUAGAAUUUAGUAGUAGUGCAAGUACGAAUUUAUGGUGGUUUUUGUAACUUUGGAUGUCAGCAAUAGUGAUAUUGUGAUUCCGAUGGCAAUUUUAGAAGUGGAUGUUGAAUUUUAUGGUGAUUGUUUGUAAUUUUUGAGAUAUUAAUGAUUGUAUUGUGAUUUUGAUGAUAAAAUUCAUGGUGGAUUCUUAAAAUUAUUGUGGUGAAUAUUUAAUUUUGGUGUCAAUGUGGUGUUUUAAUGGUGAUUUUGGUGAAGAAGAAGCAAUGGGUGACAUGGGCUUUUUUUUAAUAAAAUUGACAUAAUAUCUGAUGUGGUAAUGAUAUGGCGAUGAUGUGGCAUGAGUGUAAAUCACUCUCCAUUAUGUGACUAGUUCUUUACGUUUUGGGGUGAAAAUAAAUUUACUUUUAUAUAGUAUGGCUGUGUAUUAGGUUGUGGUAAUAGUUUAAGUGUGUAAGUGACUUUUCGUGUAUAGUUUGAGGUGAAAACGAUGACUUAUCCCAAGAAAUAUUGAAGAGAGGUUAUUAGGCACAAUUUGGAGAAAUUAUAACUUAUGGAGGACAUGAACCUUGAUAAGAAGAUGUGGAGGACUCGGAUUAGGAUAAAGGGCUAGUGGGUAGUAGUUCGGCCACGAUAGUAGGGAUGAGUACUUGGUUUGUAUAUGCGCUUGGAGUUUCUUGCUCAUUGUGUUUCAAUGUUGUAUAUGAUUUUGAAUAGAUAGGUUCUUGUUUCCUUUAUUGUCUAGCAGUGUGUUAUCCCAUUUUGUUGUUUGCUUUUAUAUUUUUUAUUUGAUUAUUAUAAUGUUAGCUGUCAUGAGCCGGGAUUCUAUUGAAAACAACUUCUUUACUUCUUCUGAGGUAGUGGUAUGGACUGUGUACCCCACUUUGUGGGAAUACAGUGGGUAUAUUGUUGUUGUUGUUGUUGUUGUUGUUUCUCUUAUUCAGUUUCACCACAAAUCAUAGUAUUCUGUUAUUGCAAAAAAUUGAAAUUAAUUGCUAAAAUUUGAAAUUUAGUGCCUUUGUAAAUUCUAGAAGAAUGCUGCCAAAUUUCUAAAGCAAAUAUAAGUGGGAGACUUAAAUUCUUUAAAGACAGUGAAUACACUAUUAAAAUCAUUUUUUCUUAAAUCCGUGCAAAGUUUUUUCAAUAUUUGGUACCUGCAAUAAUUCCUGAAAAUUUUAGGAAUUAGAGAGAAAAUAGAGCCUUUGUCAAUUUAUUGUCUACUUUUUUCUUUUUACAGAAUAAUUGGUUGAGGAAACGUGGAGAAAAAAUAGCAAAAAGGGGGGUCAAUUUUGGUAAAAAAAAAAAAUCACAAAUCUAUUGUAUUUAAGACCUUAAAUUACAAUAAAUAAUUCUACAAUAUUUUAUUUACGAACAUACAAAAGUCUAGCUAUCCAACUCAUGAAAUCAGACAUGCUCCAUAAAAAGUGGGUACAAUAUCAUUCGGGAAAAUGCUUACAAAAUAUUGAAAUAAUUACUUUCUUAAAAAUCUUUUUAGCUUCCUUUUCUUUCUCCCAUUCUCUCUCUUCACAACUCUUUUAACCAUUUUAUUUGGCCUCUCUCUAUGUAAUGCUUGCCACCAUUUUAUUUACUUCUAAUCAUCUAGAAAAAAGUUAGACAUAAAUAUCCAGACCAUCUAUGUUUAAGCUGUAAUGGAGAAGACAAUAUUAUACCAGAUGUACAGUUAGAAUGAAGAUAAGGGACAAUCAAAGAAAAUAACGGAUGGAUGGAGUAAUGAAGUAAUGACAAACAAGAAACCAAGUAGAUAAGGACACAAGGAGAUAGAAAUGGACUACCAAUUGUAGGGGUGCGGAUAACUUACUAUUUCUGUUAAUCUUAUUUGCUCCAUAUCUUUUCUCCAAUAUUCUAAGUAUUCGUAGUUUAUCAUUUUAUCCUAUAGUAGUUGUGAUUUUAUAAAUUUUUGUGUAAUAACUUAUUUUAAUCAUACUAUAUUUGAUAUGUAAUUCUAUGUUAUCUAUGUGAUUCAUUAACAUUUGUUUUUCAUAUAUAAUAUUAUAUAAACUAUCAUUUGUAUCUCCUUUUUCUAAGGUUAAUUUUAUUCUAAAUAAUUUUUUCUUCUAAUUGUCUUUUUUCUCUUUUAAGCUGAUUCCUGUAUUUAAUUUCUUCAUAUAGCCAACUUUGUUUUUCUCCAACUACCAACUUUGUUUUUCUCCAACUCUUUUAAUAUAUUCUAACAUUUUUAAUCUAUAUAAUAUCCAUCUGAAUAAUAAUUAUCUAGGUAUGAAUAGUAGCUAUCGUCGUCAUAUAAGUGUAUUCGUUCUAAUUCAUCUUCUAUCCAAUUUUCAUCUUCAAUAUCAAAUACCGUUUGCCAUAUAAUUUUUUUUAUAUCUACUAUCUCUAUAUCCUUAAGUACAUAUAAAACAAGUAUCUUAAAUUCAUCUAUCAUUUCAUCAGGUAAAUAAUUAUUUAUUUUUCAUAUGAUGCUAUUUUUUAAAAUAUUCCUUCCAAUCAUAUACAUAACAAAAUAUGAUCAUCUUAGAUCACUAUAUACUAGAUUAUUCUAAAAUAACAUGUUCUUCGGUCACUAUUAGCAUGGUAAUCUGGAUAAUUUUUCCCUAAACAACGCCUCUAUUUUGGUUACUCCCCUAUCAUGGCUUCUUUGCCUCACCGGUUUCACCUUUAGGAUGGCAUAGAUCUUGGAAAUUUUUCUCCUUUUCCACUUUGCUAAUAAACUUCUUAAGAUGCUGAUCUUCGAAUAAUUUACUAUGAAGUAACUAAUAUGAGUUUAUUUCAUUAUAUCAUGAUUGUCAGGAAUUUAUGAAUUUAUCUAUUAAUAAUUAUAAAUGAAAAUACCUGUUCUAGUAGAUUUGAUAAAUCUGUGCAUUGUUCAUACAUAGAUUAGUGAAAAACGGAAUAUCUUUAUAGAUUAUAUGAGAGAAUAUUUUUUGUGUACAAGAAGGCUUGCUUUCCAUGUAGAAAUUCUUGCCUUAUCUUGGCAAUGACGUGCCUUUUUAUGAUCUACAAAACAGGUGAAUUAUUUUACACUAUUCCUACUUUAUACUAUUUAUAUACUAUUCCUACUUUACACUUGUACUAAUCUUUACAAAAUGUAGAAAAUAUCUUCACAAAAGUCAAAGUAGCUUUAAGAAAGAAAAGACUUAAAGCAACUUUAAAUUAAAUAGAAAGACUAAAAGCUUAAAUAAUUUACGUAACUUUAAUAAUGCACUUGUCCUUUUCUGAAUCUUCUUUAUCUUCUUAUUGACUUGUCCAUUUCUAUCUCCUUAUGUCCUUAUCUACUUGGUUUCUUCUUUGUCAUUACUUCAUUGCUCCAUCCAUCCGCUAUUUGCUUUGAUUAUCCCUUAUCUUCAUUCUAACUUCCCUUAUCUUCAUUCUAACUUUACAUCUGGUAGAAUAUUGUCUUUUCUAUUACACCUUGAACAUAGAUGGUCUGGAUAUUUAUGUCCAAUUAACUUGCAAUAUCUAGUCAAUAAUUCUUCUGAAAUAUAUUAUUCUUUAAUGGCUCUGGUAGUUGGUUGCCUUGCUGGAUUAAGUAAUUUCAUAAUCCAUCUUUAAAUUUCCUCUGUAUCUACUUGUCUUAACUCUCUUGAAUUUGAAUAAAUCAUUAGUUGGUCUCUUGAAUAGUAACUUCAAAUUGGGUUCCCAUUUAAGUAAUUAUUUGCUAACACUUGGAUGAUUGUGGAUAUUCCAAUAAUUCUUUUAUUUGCGUAAAAAUCUGAUAUACUUAUUUUUGGUAUUUAUGCCUAUGGUUCAAUAUCUUCUGGUAUGAUCAUAUCUUUUGUCAUUCCUAUUUUCAUGACUUGUAUAACUGGUUUAAUCUCAUUAUACAAUAUCUCUACUGGUGUUCUAUAAAACUUUAUAAAAAAUAAGUUGCCUUUGGUUAUUCUUUUGUAAGUGGUAAUUGCUUUAUAUAUCUCUGGUAUAGCUGCUAACUAACUUUCGUCUUGGGUAUAUAUGGUGUUAAGUAAUCCAUAACUGAAGAAUGUUCUAACUAGAUUUAGGUUAGUUUUUGGUAAUGCAAUUAACUUAUUAUAUCUUUGUAAUUUUUGGGUUAUGUAAUCUGUAUUUGGUUCUUGAAUAUUUAUUGCUCUGGGUCUAAGGUUUAAAUGUGUUUGUAUUUUGUGGAUGUUUUCGAUAUAUGAUCUGGUUAUAUGAUUAUAGGCUUUCUUUUCUUGGUUUAGACUUCUAGAUAUGUGGUAGUUUGUGGGGGUAUAAACAAAGGGUCUUUUGGUGUUUUUGGUAUAAAUGGCUUUUCAAAUAUUUUGUUCAAGUUCAUAUUUGGGUUCCUUCUAACUCCUUUGCUUGUACUUACAGAAGUAGAUUGGUAAACAUUAUGGGUUUUUCGGAGUGUGCCAACGUCUCCUUUUAUCUCUUGAAUUUUACUGUCUUUCGAUCGACAUUUCUCUGCACACUGCUGAGUUAUAUGAGCCAUAGCUUCAGACUUCAGUUUCACUUCAUUAGUCUUUAGCUUUUCUAUCUCAUUUCCCAAACUAUCCACUUUCAGUGAAAGCGUAGUUAGGGUUUUGAGUAUCUUUUCUAGAGCAUCGUCUUCUGUAAUAUAAAUUUGGGUAGCUUUGUCUUGAUAUGUAAUCUGUAAUAACAUUCUUGUUAGUCUUGAUUACUUCAAUUUUAAAUGUAAAAUUUAAUAUAUUCA
rnacentral:lncRNA from 1 species